rnacentral:misc_RNA from 1 species
GAAAUGCGAUAAGUAGUGUGAAUUGCAGAAUUCAGUGAAUCAUCGAAUCUUUGAACGCACAUUGCGCCCCUUGGUAUUCCAUGGGGCAUGCCUGUUCGAGCGUCAUUUGUACCCUCAAGCUCUGCUUGGUGUUGGGUGUUCGUCCCGUCUCCGCGCGUGGACUCGCCCCAAAGUGAUUGGCAGCCGGCGUACUGGUCCCGGAGCGCAGCACAUGUCGCGCAAACGAGUGCCUUGGUACGGCGGCGUCCAUAAGCCCCUCUCUCACGCUCUUGACCUCGGAUCAGGUAGGGAUACCCGCUGAACUUAAGC